ACGGAGGGUGCAAGCGUUACUCGGAAUCACUGGGCGUAAAGAGCGUGUAGGCGGGGAUAUAAGUCAGAAAUGAAAACCUAUAGAUUAACUAUAGAACUGCUUUUGAAACUGUAUACCUAGAAUGUGGGAGAGGUAGAUGGAAUUUCUGGUGUAGGGGUAAAAGCCGUAGAGAUCAGAAGGAAUACCGAUUGCGAAGGCGAUCUACUGGAACAUUAUUGACGCUGAGACGCGAAAGCGUGGGUAGCAAACAU
rnacentral:rRNA from 1 species